UACAGAGGGGGCAAGCGUUAUUCGGAAUUAUUGGGCGUAAAGGGCGCGUAGGCGGCCUUUCAAGUGACGGGUGAAAUCCCUCGGCUUAACCGAGGAACUGCCUGUCAGACUGGGAGGCUUGAGACCGGGAGAGGUGAGUGGAAUUCCCAGUGUAGCGGUGAAAUGCGUAGAUAUUGGGAGGAACACCAGUGGCGAAGGCGGCUCACUGGACCGGAACUGACGCUGAUGCGCGAAAGCGUGGGGAGCAAACGGG
rnacentral:rRNA from 1 species